rnacentral:rRNA from 1 species
GACGAACGCUGGCGGCGUGCCUAAUACAUGCAAGUCGAACGCAGUGGGGACGGGUGAGUAACACGUGGGUAACCUCCCAUCAGAGGGGAUAACACUUGGAAAAAGGUGCUAAAAGCGAUAAUGAUGGAUGGACCCGCGGUGCAUUAGCUAGGUGGUGGGGUAACGGCUCACCAAGGCCACGAUGCAUAGCCGCCCGGAGAGGGUGAUCGGCCACACUGGAACUGCGACACGGCCCCGACUCCUACGGGAGGCAGCAGUAGGUAAUCUUCGGCAAUGGACGCAAGUCUGACCGAGCACCGCCGCGUGAGGGAAGAAGGUUUUCGGAUCGUAAAACUCUGUUGUUAGAAAAGCGGUAUCUAACCAGAAAGCCACGGCUAACUACGUGCCAGCAGCCGCGGUAAUAC